rnacentral:rRNA from 1 species
AACGAACGCUGGCGGCAGGCCUAACACAUGCAAGUCGAGCGAGCCUUUCGGGUUUAGUGGCGGACGGGUGAGUAACGCGUGGGAACGUGCCUUUAUCUUCGGAAUAACUCAGGGAAACUGGGGCUAAUACCGAAUAUGCCCUUCGGGGGAAAGAUUUAUCGCCGUAGGAGCGGCCCGCGUCGGAUUAGCUAGUUGGUUGGGGAAUGGCCCACCCAGGCGACGAUCCAUAGCUGGUUUGAGAGGAUGAUCAGCCACACUGGGACUGAGACACGGCCCAGACUCCUACGGGAGGCAGCAGUGGGGAAUCUUGCACAAUGGGCGAAAGCCUGACGCAGCCAUGCCGCGUGAAUGAUGAAGGCCUUAGGGUUGUAAAACUCUUUCACCUGGGAAGAUAAUGACGGUACCAGGAGAAGAAGCCCCGGCUAACUCCGUG